UACGGAGGGAGCUAGCGUUAUUCGGAAUUACUGGGCGUAAAGCGCACGUAGGCGGCUUUGUAAGUAAGAGGUGAAAGCCCAGAGCUCAACUCUUGAAUUGCCUUUUAGACUGCAUCGCUUGAAUCAUGGAGAGGUCAGUGGAAUUCCGAGUGUAGAGGUGAAAUUCGUAGAUAUUCGGAAGAACACCAGUGGCGAAGGCGGCUGACUGGACAUGUAUUGACGCUGAGGUGCGAAAGCGUGGGGAGCAAACAGG
rnacentral:rRNA from 1 species